rnacentral:rRNA from 1 species
CGAUCAGUAGCCGACCUGAGAGGGUGAUCGGCCACAUUGGAACUGAGACACGGUCCAAACUCCUACGGGAGGCAGCAGUGGGGAAUAUUGCACAAUGGGCGAAAGCCUGAUGCAGCAACGCCGCGUGAGUGAUGAAGGCCUUCGGGUCGUAAAACUCUGUCCUCAAGGAAGAUAAUGGCGGUACUUGAGGAGGAAGCCCCGGCUAACUACGUGCCAGCAGCCGCGGUAAUACGUAGGGGGCUAGCGUUAUCCGGAUUUACUGGGCGUAAAGGGUGCGUAGGCGGUCUUUCAAGUCAGGAGUGAAAGGCUACGGCUCAACCGUAGUAAGCUCUUGAAACUGGGAGACUUGAGUGCAGGAGAGG